CCGACCGGCGCACGGGUGAGUAACGCGUAUGCAACUUACCUAUCAGAGGGGGAUAACCCGGCGAAAGUCGGACUAAUACCGCAUGAAGCAGGGGCCCCGCAUGGGGAUAUUUGCUAAAGAUUCAUCGCUGAUAGAUAGGCAUGCGUUCCAUUAGGCAGUUGGCGGGGUAACGGCCCACCAAACCGACGAUGGAUAGGGGUUCUGAGAGGAAGGUCCCCCACAUUGGUACUGAGACACGGACCUA
rnacentral:rRNA from 1 species